GUGAAUGUUACAAACUUGGAUUAAUUACAAGUUUGCCACUCACUUGUAAUAAAGUAUAAAAGCAACUUUAUAGCUUUAUUUUCAUUAGGGUUUUCUUUGAGGCAAAGAGGUGAAACAUUUUCUCUCUUUCUCUCUACAAAGAGGCCGGCCACUUAGAGGAGAUUAAUCUAGCAAUCUUUUCUUCUCUAAGUCAUCCAUUUCAUCUUCACACCUCACCCUUGGUGUGGAGACUUAGAGACACCAAACCUUUGGUGUUUUUGGAGAUCCUUUCCUCACAUCCUCAAGGACCAAAGGAGCACAAAAGGAGAAGGAAAUCACAAGCAAGAUCCAAGGAGCUUGGAGGUGACUUGAAGGCCCUCCACUUGGGUGAAUCCCUUGUGUAAACAAGGAUGAGCUUCAAGGGUAAAGAAUCUCUAAAUCUUUUCUUCUCUUUAAGUUUGUUAAAGAGUUUAUUGGUUCACCAUAUACUAGGCUUUGAAAGUCAUGGGUUUUAUGAAUUGUUUUUUAAUGCAUGCCUACUUUAAUGUGUUAAUAGUUUGCAUGUGUAUUCAAAUGUUCUUACUUGUUCUUAGGAAGGACAAAUUUUUUUCUUCAAUAAAGCCACCUGCUCCACCAAGGCGUCAACUGUCAAGGAACCCCUAAUUCCUUGACAAUUCCAACACA
rnacentral:lncRNA from 1 species